rnacentral:tRNA from 1 species
GAAAAGAAGUCAAAGAGAGACAAAUUAUUGUUAAUAAUUAAAAUGAUUAACCAAAAUCCUUUUCAUG